rnacentral:rRNA from 1 species
UACGUAGGGUGCAAGCGUUUGUCCGGAAUUAUUGGGCGUAAAGAGCUUGUAGGCGGUUUGUCGCGUCUGCUGUGAAAUUUCGGGGCUCAACCCCGAACUUGCAGUGGGUACGGGCAGACUAGAGUGUGGUAGGGGAGACUGGAAUUCCUGGUGUAGCGGUGAAAUGCGCAGAUAUCAGGAGGAACACCGAUGGCGAAGGCAGGUCUCUGGGCCGAUACUGACGCUGAGGAGCGAAAAGCGUGGGGAGCGAACAGG